rnacentral:rRNA from 1 species
GAUGAACGCUGGCGGCGUGCCUAAUACAUGCAAGUCGAGCGAACAGACGAGGAGUUUGCUCCUCUGACGUUAGCGGCGGACGGGUGAGUACCACGUGGAUAACCUACCUAUAAGACUGGGAUAACUUCGGGAAACCGGAUCUAAUACCGGAUAAUAUAUUGAACCGCAUGGUUCAAUAGUGAAAGACGGUUUUGCUGUCACUUAUAGAUGGAUCCGCGCCGGAUUAGUUAGUUGGUACGGUAACGGCUUACCAAGGCGACGAUGCGUAGCCGACCUGAGAGGGUGAUCGGCCACACUGGAACUGAGACACGGUCCAGACUCCUACGGGAGGCAGCAGUAGGGAAUCUUCCGCAAUGGGCGAAAGCCUGACGGAGCAACGCCGCGUGAGUGAUGAAGGUCUUCGGAUCGUAAAACUCUGUUAUUAGGGAAGAACAAAUGUGUAAGUAACUAUGCGCGUCUUGACGGUACCUAAUCAAAAAGCCACGGCUAACUACGUG